rnacentral:rRNA from 1 species
CUAGGGAAACUCCAAGACUCUGGGAGCGGGAGAGGCAAGAGGUACUCCUAGGGUAGAGGUAAAAUUUUUUAAUCCUAGAAGGACCACCAGUAGCGAAGGCGCCUUGCUAGAACACGUUUGACAGUGAGGGACGAAGCCUAGGGGAGCAAACCUGGAUUAGAUACCCAGNUAGUCCUAG